CCCAAAUGUGGGCAGGAAAAGUCAGACAGGACUAAACAAUAACAAGAAUUGUUUGCGUAAUCACAGAUUUGUAACAUCUUUGGAUCUGCUACUGAUAAUCACUAACCCAAACCCCUUCCUUUCCUCCUUCCCCAACUCCAUUAUCACCCUUGAGUUACUUGACUCCUGUUUUAUUGGUGUUUUCUGUUUCUGCCAUCACCAGGGUAUCCCAUGUAUCUCUCCCUCCCCUCAUCCUCAAGAGCCAUGCCAUGUGAUGAAUCAUAUUUCUUAUUUUAGGAAGGAAAAGAAAAGUGAGCACAACUGAUCAAUGCAUUUGGGCAAACGUGUGCAAUGUGUAACACCUGAGGACCUCUCACUUCCUGAAUGGGGGUGUUGUCAGUGCCAGAGGAGAGAACUGGGCAUUCAGAAGACGUUAGGAAGGGGAAAUGCACAGAUCUUGGCAACAGAUUGGAUAUGACGAGGUGAGAGAGUGUCAGACAUCUGGGAUGACCCCUAGCUUGCAAGCCUGGGUGAUCUGGGUGAUGUUGACAAUACUGGGCUGCCCUUAACAGUUAUAGGUUAAGUAGGAAGGAGGUACGCAUUUUUUUUGGGGGGGGGAAGGUAAGACAAUGAGUUCAGUGUUGGACUUGCUGAAUUCAAGAUAUCUACAGAAUAUCUGGUUGAAGAUGUCCAGUAGACAGUUGGAGAUGUGAGGCUGGCUGUAUGCAGAGAGGUUAGGACCGGAUAAUUGGAUUGUUGAAUCAUCAAGCUAGCCAAACUCCAACCCUUCUGUGGUGAAAGUCCUAUGCCUGCUCCUAGUAUGUGGUAAUAACAUAAAGUAGGAACUCCUUUUCUUCCAUGGCAGUUUUCCAGGUUUCACCUACUCCUCCUCAUAGCCAUUUACCUUCAUUGUUGUUAUUCAGUCAUUCAAUCUUGUCUGACUCUUUUUGACCCCUUCGACCACAACAUGCUAGGCCCUUCUUUCUUCCACUAUCUCCUGAAGUCUGUCCUAGUUCAUGUUCGUUGUUCGUAUGACACUAUUUAUCCAUAUUAUCCCUCUACCAUUUCCUUUUGCCUUCUAUCUUUCCCAUUAUUAGGAUCUUUUCCAAUGCAUCCCAUUUUCUCAUGAUGUGACCACAGUCUUUAAGCUUCAGCAUUUGACCUUCCAGUGAAUGGACUGAAUUAAUUUCUUUUUUGGUUAGAUUUAUCUAGUUCUGAGAACAAAAUGUUGAGGUUCCCCACCACAAAAAAACAAAACAGAGACUUCUGGGAGCCAAGAUGGCGGAGUGAAAAGGUAGUCGUA